GAAAGUUUUCCGCUGCACUAAUUCACCCCCCCCCUCUUAGUGCUCUCGAUCCUAACAAUUGGUAUCAGAGCCCGGUAUUUCUCAUUUCGGACUUACACCUGAGAGAAAUGGCUCUUCAUGGCUUUCAAGAGGGCUUUUCGGUUUUUCGUCCACCGUUGUUUAACGGAUUGGACUACACUUAUUGGAAAACUCGAAUGAGAGUUUUCUUGAUUUCUAUGAAUUUGGAUUUAUGGAAUAUCGUUGGAAACGG
rnacentral:lncRNA from 1 species